rnacentral:miRNA from 1 species
UCAUUUCCUCACCAAUUAUGU